rnacentral:rRNA from 1 species
GUGUACACAAGAUAGAGCUCUCAUCAAGUUUUUUUAAACUUUACAAUUAAAUCCAACUUAAAAAGUUAUUUCAUAAACUUUAUCCGUUAAAAUCUUAUAAAUGUAACCCACCUCUAUCUUUUACAUAAGCUGCACCUUUACUUGAAGUCUAUGAUUUUUUCAUGAUAGAAAGUUUUCUAAAGAAACUGACUGACAACAGCGGUAUACAAACUGAUUACAAAUAAAAGUAAAGUUUUUCGUGGUUCAUCGUUUAUAGGGCAGGUUCCUCUAAAUGGCUAUCUUGCCGCCAAAUCCGUUAAAUUUCAUUAUUAUUACUAUUCCAAAAUUUAUUUAUUAUAAGUA